rnacentral:rRNA from 1 species
ACUCCUACGGGAGGCAGCAGUGGGGAAUAUUGCACAAUGGGCGAAAGCCUGAUGCAGCAACGCCGCGUGAACGAUGAAGGUCUUCGGAUCGUAAAGUUCUGUCGCAGGGGAAGAUAAUGACGGCACCCUGUGAGGAAGCACCGGCUAACUACGUGCCAGCAGCCGCGGUAAU